rnacentral:pre_miRNA from 1 species
GUUCAUCCCAGAGGAGUGACUCUAAGAACACAGGGUGGUGUUUGACCACUUUUACAUAUAUGGCUAAUGCAUCUUGUGUUCUCAGGUCACCCCUUUGAGACACAC